rnacentral:lncRNA from 10 species
AGAAGUAGAUAGAAGGAUUUUAUGAGUAAUCAUUUAAUGAUGAAUUUUGGAUAAUAAUUGAGUUUAGAGCAGGAGAGUCUUCCAGGGUUGAGCUCUUUCCUUGCCAGUUGUUGUUUGUCAGUGCUACUUGUGGGAUUAUGAGAAGGAUUUGUGGCCUGAAUUUUAUUUCUUUUAUUUCCCACUUCCAAUCUCCCUGAAUCUAAUUGAUCAGAGGAAAGUGCAAAUGUGCAAAAGAGAAGCCCUCGAGGGAUUUUAUUACCUUCUAAUAGCCUCUGUGGUUCUAGUGAGUGAUGGAAAGCAGGGUAUUUUUAGGAAGUGUGGGUGACAGAAUGUGAUCACUGCAGAGAAUGUGGAAAUACUUUGAAUUUGGACAGUUUAGUGACUUUAAUGUUAAGUCUCUUUGAAAACAAGAUUGUGGAAAACGAGCAACACAAAUAAUUGGCCCUUGCUUUCCACUUCAUGACAGUGAUAAGGAGGCAUAUGGAUGUCAGGGUUACUCAGGCUUCUAUCCUACAAAAUAUCAACCCAAUUAUAAAAUAAUUGUAGAUGAUAGAGUGGGUGCCCAGUUCCGUAGGAAACAAAGGCCCACUUCUUUCUGCCAUUUGCCCACAGCCAUGCAAAUUUAACUUGGCUUCUUUUUAAUGCCCUUUGUCUUGUGUCUAAUUAACAAAAGUCUCAGGACAUUGGAACACUAACAGGCAAUCAUGAACUCAAUUCCAGCUCCACUGAAAUUGCCACCUGGUCUAGACUAGAAAAUAUUUUGGCUGAGUGGCCUAUCUGGAAAGAUACAUUGUUGUUUUGUCGUCUGGAAAAAUAUAUAGGAAAUGGCAGUUUUGUGAAAUUAGCUGGGUUCCUAAAAAGUUUGAGAGUCUUCUUUGGUCCUUUCUGGUGAUUGACAAGUAAAAGUUUUCUUAAGGAGACAAUGGGUGGAAAUGGAGGAAGCAUGUGCACUAGAAUUGGGAAGUCUUGGUUUUAAAUCUCAGCUCUGCCACUGUUUAGUUGUGUGGCUGUGGUUUGGUGACCUAACUUCUUUCACUGCAGUUUUUUAAUCUAUAAAGUGAUAAAAAAAUAAAAAAUGUUUUAAUGUUUUCUUCAUAGAGCUGUUUGAUGCUAGAAUGGGAUAGCCUGGGGAAAAUGUCUUGCAUAGAACCUAGUAUAUAUUAGGUUUCCAAUACAUGCCUGCUAGUAUAAUUAAUAUUAUUAUCAUUUUAUCUUAUUACUAUUCUUCAACAAAAAUUAUUAAACACCCGAUAUAUGCCAGGUGGGGUACCCUAUGUUACCAUAUUUUUUGAUAAUGAAAGAAAAGUGAAUGUUUCCACUACCUCCAGUCAUAUUUUUCUGGUAAGAUAAAGAGGAGGCUUCUGUAGGAUGCAUUGGUAAUACCAUUUUUAUGAUACUUAAAAUGUCCCGUCUUACAUUGUUUAGCCCUAUCUAGACAGCUUCCUCUACUCAUUAAUGGGAAAGUCUUUGGCAUCUUGUCUUAUAUAUCUUGGCAGUCUGCACAGUUCCUUGGGUAUUAUGCAAACUAUAUAAAGCCUUAGAAUCCAGGAAUUUCAGAGGUGAAAGGAAACUCAGAGUUAAUCUACUUUUUCAUUUUGCAGAUUAUGAAAUUUAGGAUCAGAGAAGUAACACAAUUUGCCUGAAGUCACGCAGCUUGAAUUCAGGUCUUUAUUUAUUUGUCUUUCUAUGGCCUCUCUUUCUUUCUCUGUCAAUAAAUCCACUAAGACUUUGUGUUUGUAAUUUAGUGUCAGUGAAUAAUCAGCAUCCUGGUUGCUUCAUGGGCAUCGUGGAUUAUACCAGGAUAUCUAGUCAACCCCUCUAAAUAGAUUAGAUGCUUUUUUUUCUCUGACCUGUAGUUUAGCUCUUGGAACCCCAGGAACGAUAAGAUUGGGAACUUAGUCUGACCUAUUCUGGUGGUCGUUCUGUUCAUAUCUGAUCUUAGCUGGAAGUCCUGGAUUUGAUGCUCUAUGGCGAUGCUGUCCAAUAGAACUUUCUAUCAUGACCGAAAUGUUCUAUAUGCUCACUGCCUGAUAUAGUAGCCACUAGCCACGUGAGGUAACUGAACACCUGAAAUGUGGUGAGUGUUAUUGAGGACCUGGAUUUUAAAUUGUAAUUAAUUUUAAUUAAUUCAAAUUUAACUUUAAAUGGUCUUGGUGGCUAGUGUCCAUUGGAUUGGACAGCACAGUGGCAGGAAGUAAAGGACUUUGAACAAAUAGCAUCAAGUCCAAGACAAGAGAUAAAACAAUAUGCUAUACUUAAACAGUUGCAUACAGUGCUUAAAACAAAGUAGAGUUCAACAAAUUAUUUUUUUUUCAAGAGAAUACAACAGAACUUUUAAAGGAAGACCAUAGACCAUGGCCUCGUAAGGGAAUGGUAGAUAUAAUGGUAAAUGACACUGAUUAUUUACUUGGUUUAUGACUUUUUUUCUCUUUUUUUGAAACUUUCAGUGGUCUGAAGUGAGUGACUCUCCUAACAUCAGAUGACAUAGGUUGUCUUUCAGUAAGACAAAGGCCUGCAUGUACCAUGAAUGUACUGUGCAGGGUGUUUAUGGGGCCUCAGAUGAUUUGCUGAUGUUGAAAGUAUUUCAAUUCAUCUCUAUUUCAUAGCAUCUCAGAGAUGUAUCACAGCCACUCCAAUUCCUAACAAGACUGAGCAAAAACCAGAAGCUUCUGGGUAAAAGGGAUUUAAAGUGUUUAGAACCCUUUCUGAGAAUUUUAAAUUGAGGUAUAAAAGGUAUAAAAGGAAUCUAUUUUUUAUAAUCUCUCUUCUCUUGUCUAAGUCUCUGAACUUUUAAAGGAGGGUGAUAGCCCAUGCAGAGUAGUAGUCAUGAAGGGUCAAAGGACCGCGAGUCAGAAGAGCUGGAUGUGAAUUCUCACCCCACCCCUGAGUAGCUAUGCAAGCUUGGGCAAGUGUCUCAACUUCCCUUAGUGUCCUUGCAAAAGCCAUCUUUGCAAAACACUUCCUGACCAAGUCUUCCUCUGCUUGCUGUGUGUCCCCAAGGCUGUAGAUCAUUUAGAAGCCCAGUUGACAUGAUUUCCUCCAUUUACUCAUUGGUAGAAGAUGUCAAGAACAAUACAAAUCUACAUGACCUUCAUUGUCCACACAAAGCUCUCCAUGUCAGCCAAACUGGUUUCAUAGAAAUUUUUUCCUCUAGUACAGAAAUCUGUGGACAUUUUUUCAUUGUUAAUGCUUAAGAUGGUGUAUGCCAAGGGAUUUUGAAGAAAAUUUGGUACCAUGUAGAGAGAAUAGAUUCAUACUAAUAUGGCUAUUAACACAUAAUUAAUAUUAUUACAAUGUUUUUUCUCUUUGAACUUUUCUAGGUGCAUUCGCUCUGGAAAUCAAUGUCAUUUGUCACUGGUUCUAAAUUUUAUAUUUGGUAUUUUGUUUUUAGGCUUUUGGUUGAUUGUUAAUUAUUGAGUGUUUACUUACUGUGUGCCAGGUCCAUUAUGUAUAUGACUUGUUUUCUUUAAAAUAAUCUUCCAUAUUGGUUAUUAGUAUUCUAUUUUUCUAAAAAUAAAAAGCUGAAAGGCAACUUACGCAGACUGAGUGACCUCCCAAGACUAGUGGCAGAACUGUCGAGCUCUGUGAGGCUGGAAACACCUGUUUUUCACUGCAGUGUCUCAGGACCUAGAACAAUGGCACAAAAUAGGUGUCCUCGAAUAUUGGUUGCAUAGAUGCAUGAAUGAAUGAAUAAAAUAGUGAAUGAAUGCCUGGUCCAAAGUCCCUACUCUUGCCUCUUUACUGUGUUGCUCUCUAGAUAAAUGAGUGAAUGGACAGGACAUUCGAAUUCAAGUCCAUUCAUUACAUAUGCAUUGGCCUUGGCUGUGUAUGGGGCAGCUAUGUGUAUGGUAAGUGCUGAAGAUAGAGUUUUGGACAGUGCAGAUAGGUCUGAACCAUCGCGGAGCUUAUUUACCAUGGCAAACACAGAUGCCAAGCACCUCAUCAUAGGAUGAUUAAUACCAUGAAAGAGGAAGAACUGACUGAUAUAAAUUAUUUAUUUUUGGUUUUCUGGUUUCUAAAAUAAAUACUAUGUUAACCUCUAUUUUCUGUUGACAGUUUUUUUUAUCAAAUUUUAUUUUUAUUGCUCUCUGAUAGCAAAUAAUGUAAUAGAAACACCUAUUUUAAGUAUGUUUUACAUUUGUAUUGAAACUCUGCAAGUUGAAAAAUAGAAACAUUUAAGUAUUUAUUUUAUUUUAUUUUUGAGACGGACUCUCGCUCCAUCACCAGACUGGAGUGCAGUGGCGUGAUCUCGGCUCACUGCAAUCUCUGCCUCCUGGGUCAAGUGAUUCUCCUGCCUCAGCCUCCCGAGUAGCUGGGGUUACAGGCGCGCACCACCAUGCCUGGCUUAUUUUUUGUAUUUUAGUAGAGGUGGGGUUUCACCGUGUUGGCCAGGAUGGUCUCAAUCUCCUGGCCUUGUGAUCCACCCACCUCGGCCUCCCAAAGUGCUGGGAUUACAGGUGCGCCUGGCCUUAAGUAUUAAAUUUUUUAUUGUGAUUUGUUGCUUCUUUGAUUUGGAAAUUGGAAUUUGUGAUUUUUUCUUCUCCAAGAUGCCAUACCAGGCCUUGCAGUUUAUAUUGCAAUAGUCUCUAAUUCAAUGUAUCUUUUAAGUAGGAGCAAUAUUCAUUUUACUCACUUUUAUAAUAGAAAAAUAGGCGUUGAGAAAUGUAGUUAUUUCCAGAUAAAUAUACAAUCAUGUUAAUAUGUUGGUUUUUACCUUUAUAAAAACUCUUCUCAGGGAAUUCUAGUAUUCCACCUUCAUGAUUACAUUUUAGUUUUCAAUACAGUAUCAUGUCGUAGUUCACUGACUACCUUUUUAAACUUUUAUUUUAGGUUCUGGGGUACAUGUGCAGGUUUGAUAUAUAGGUAAACCCAUAUCAUGGGGGUUUGUUGUACAGAUUAUUUCUUCACUCGGGUAUUAAGCAUAGUUAUAACCCAAUAGUUAUUUUUCCUGAUCCUCUCCUCUCUCCCAUCCUCCACCCUCCGAUAGGCCUCAAUGUGUGUUGUUCCCUUCUAUGUGUCCAUGUGUUCUCAUCAUUUAGCUCCUACUUAUAAGUAAGAACAUGCAGUGUUUGGUUUUCUGUUGCUGCAUUAGUGUGCUGAGGAUCAUGGCCUCCAGCUACUUCCAUGUUCCCACAAAAGACAUGAUCUUGUUCUUUGUUGUGGCUGCAUAGCAUUCCAUGAUGUGUAUGUACCACAUUUUUCUUUAUCCAGUCUGUUAUUAAUGGGCAUUUAUGUUAAUUCCAUGUCUUUGUUAUUGUGAACAGUGCUGCAAUGAGCAUUCGCAUGCAUCUGUCUUCAUAAUCGAAUAAUUUAUAUUCCUCUGCGAAUCUGAGUGCCUAGCACAGUGCCCAAGGUUUAACAGCCUCUGACACUUAGUAGGUGCUCAGUAAAUGAACUAAAUUGACCUAAGCUAAUGUUGAAACUCCUCAGGGAUUUACUGUGACAGAUGAGGCAAAGGUAUUGAUCAUAUCCCUUAAAAAACAAAAUACCUCUUUUCAUAGGUUCUCAAUCAGGCUUUUCUAAUUCUGGCAACUCAGGAUUGUUGAGGCUGUCUAAAUUGGCUAGCAGGAAAGAAGAAAAAAAUACCCUCGUAAUUCAAGAAAUGUACUUGUUAAGCUGAAGGGCUUGUAGCCAGACUGUCUGGGUUAAAAUGCACUUAACGUGAAUCCAGUUACUUUACCUCUGUGAGUCUGAAUUUCCACAUCUGUAAAGUGGUAUAUUGUUAGUAUUAUGUGAACAGUGCAUGUAAAGCUUGUAUAAAUAACAGUUCUUCAGUGUAUGUGAACUGUUCAUUGUAAUUGUCCAGAAAAGGGACAUGGAUUUUCCUACCAAUGGAAGUGAUGACAUCUAAGGAAUAUUUUCUUUUAAAAAUUUUCUUUACCUUAUUUUAGAAUUCACUGCUCUUCAGUGGCUUGAUAUUUUGUUUAAAACUGUUGUAUAUGGUAAAUAUAAAGCAACAUUUACAAUUUUUCAUUGUGGCAUAGUUCAAACGAAUACAAGAGUGGAGGAAAUAAUAUAAAGAACCUUCAUGCACACAUCACAUAGUGUCAACAAUGAUUCACCACAGGUAAAUCUUGUUUCAUUUCUACUUCCCCACUUCCUCUAUGCCCCAGUUGAUUAUUUUGAAGCAAAUCCCGUAUAUCAUUUAGGAUAUAAAUUUUUUUAGUUUGUACAUAAGGCACUUUUAAAGAAGAUAAAGGUAUAUAAAAAGGUAAAUAAAAUUACUCUGUUAUUUGUCUUGGAUCCUUAGGUAAGGGACACCUCUUACUCAACGUGCUUUAAUUUCUUUUCAUAUUUACACAAAGAAGUCUUCUUUACUUUUUCUUUUUUUUGUUUUUCUAUUGUGGUAAAAAUAUAUAUCAUAAAAUGUACCAUUUUAGCUAUAUUUAAGUGCACAGUUUAAUGACAGUAAGUACACUUCACAUUGUUGUGCGACCAUUAUCACCAUCCAUCUCUAGAACUUAAUCUUCCCAAUCUGAAACUCCGCACCUGUUGGACAAUAAUUUCCCAUUCCCCUACCAGUCCCAUUGCAAUCACCAUUUGACUUUCUGUCCCUAUGAAAUAAACUGCUCUAGGUACCUCAUAUAAGCAGAAACAUGUAGUAUUUAUUCUUUUUUGACUGGCUUAUUUCACUUGUAUUAUAUGUGACUGGCUUAUUUCCAUAGCAUAACGUCCUCAAGGUUCAUCCAUGUUGUAACAUGUGCCAGAAUUUUCUCCUUUUUAAAGGCUGAAUAAUAUUCCUUUGAAUGUAUUUACUGCAUUUUGUUUAUUCAUUCAUUUAACAAUGGGCAGUUGGGUUACUGCUACCUUUGACUAUUGUAUAUAAUAGUGCAGUGAACAUGGAUAUACAAAUAUCUGUGUGGAGUCUCUGCUGUCAGUUCUUUUGGUAUACACCCAAAAGUGGGAUUGCUGGACCAGCCUGGCCAACAUGGUGAAACCCCAUCUUUACUAAAAAUACAAAAUUAGACAGGUGUGGUGGUACGGGCCUGUAAUUUCAGCCACUCCGGAGGGUGAAGCAGAAGAACUGCUUGAACCAGGGUGGCAGAGGUUGCAGUGAGCUGAGAUUGCACCACUGCACUCCAGCCUGGGUGACAGUGAGACCCUGUCUC